rnacentral:rRNA from 1 species
UGGGGAAUAUUGGACAAUGGGCGAAAGCCUGAUCCAGCCAUGCCGCGUGUGUGAAGAAGGUCUUCGGAUUGUAAAGCACUUUAAGUUGGGAGGAAGGGCAGUAAGCGAAUACCUUGCUGUUUUGACGUUACCGACAGAAUAAGCACCGGCUAACUCUGUGCCAGCAGCCGCGGUAAUACAGAGGGUGCAAGCGUUAAUCGGAAUUACUGGGCGUAAAGCGCGCGUAGGUGGUUCGUUGAGUUGAAUGUGAAAGCCCCGGGCUCAACCUGGGGAAUGCAUCCAGAACUGGCGAGCUCGAAUAGGGCAGAGGGUGGUGGAAUUUCCUGUGGAGCGGUGAAAUGCGUGGAUAUAGGAAGGAACACCAGUGGCGAAGGCGACCACCUGGGCUCAUACUGACACUGAGGUGCGAAAGCGUGGGGAGCAAACCGG